GACGAACGCUGGCGGCGUGCCUAAUACAUGCAAGUAGAACGCACAGGAUGCACCGUAGUUUACUACACCGUAUUCUGUGAGUUGCGAACGGGUGAGUAACGCGUAGGUAACCUGCCUGGUAGCGGGGGAUAACUAUUGGAAACGAUAGCUAAUACCGCAUAAGAACAUUUACUGCAUGGUAGAUGUUUAAAAGGUGCAAAUGCAUCACUACCAGAUGGACCUGCGUUGUAUUAGCUAGUAGGUGAGGUAACGGCUCACCUAGGCGACGAUACAUAGCCGACCUGAGAGGGUGAUCGGCCACACUGGGACUGAGACACGGCCCAGACUCCUACGGGAGGCAGCAGUAGGGAAUCUUCGGCAAUGGGGGGAACCCUGACCGAGCAACGCCGCGUAAGUGAAGAAGGUUUUCGGAUCGUAAAGCUCUGUUGUUAAGGAAGAACGAGUGUGAGAAUGGAAAGUUCAUACUGUGACGGUACUUAACCAGAAAGGGACGGCUAACUACGUGCCAGCAGCCGCGGUAAUACGUAGGUCCCGAGCGUUGUCCGGAUUUAUUGGGCGUAAAGCGAGCGCAGGCGGUUAGAUAAGUCUGAAGUUAAAGGCAGUGGCUCAACCAUUGUAGGCUUUGGAAACUGUUUAACUUGAGUGCAGAAGGGGAGAGUGGAAUUCCAUGUGUAGCGGUGAAAUGCGUAGAUAUAUGGAGGAACACCGGUGGCGAAAGCGGCUCUCUGGUCUGUAACUGACGCUGAGGCUCGAAAGCGUGGGGAGCGAACAGG
rnacentral:rRNA from 1 species